rnacentral:lncRNA from 1 species
AUUCUAAUUAUUGAGCUCGGGUUAGCUCGAUUGGACCUAAAUCAAUUAGAUUGAAAUCUAAUCAAAUUUGAUCAACUUAUAUCCGGACCUACUGCUGACUAGAUGUGGAACCUAAUGGGUCACACACAUAUAGAAAUUGGCCAAGGAUCCUUUUGAAAAAGAUUGAUUGAAAUUUUGGAUUCAAUCAGGGUUUCGAUAAGCAUGCUAGCACGUGUGGAAACCCUUGCUCCUUUGGAG